rnacentral:rRNA from 1 species
AGUGAACGCUGGCGGUAGGCCUAACACAUGCAAGUCGAACGGCAGCACAGUAAGAGCUUGCUCUUACGGGUGGCGAGUGGCGGACGGGUGAGGAAUACAUCGGAAUCUACUUUUUCGUGGGGGAUAACGUAGGGAAACUUACGCUAAUACCGCAUACGACCUACGGGUGAAAGCAGGGGAUCUUCGGACCUUGCGCGAUUGAAUGAGCCGAUGUCGGAUUAGCUAGUUGGCGGGGUAAAGGCCCACCAAGGCGACGAUCCGUAGCUGGUCUGAGAGGAUGAUCAGCCACACUGGAACUGAGACACGGUCCAGACGCCUACGGGAGGCAGCAGUGGGGAAUAUUGGACAAUGGACGCAAGCCUGAUCCAGCCAUACCGCGUGGGUGAAGAAGGCCUUGGGGUUGUAAAGCCCUUUUGUUGGGAAAGAAAAGCAGCAGGUUAAUACCCCGCUGUUCUGACGGUACCCAAAGAAUAAGCACCGGCUAACUUCGUG